AAUCCGUCGAUCAAAAAUCAUGAGGGUUCAAGUCCC
rnacentral:tRNA from 1 species